rnacentral:rRNA from 1 species
GACGAACCGUGCGAACGUUGUUCGGAAUCACUGGGCUUAAAGGGCGCGUAGGCGGGCCAUAAAGUCAGGGGUGAAAUCCUCCAGCUUAACUGGAGAACUGCCUUUGAUACUGAUGGUCUCGAGUAAGGUAGGGGCAUGCGGAACUGAUGGUGGAGCGGUGAAAUGUGUUGAUAUCAUCAGGAACUCCGGUGGCGAAGGCGGCAUGCUGGACCUUCACUGACGCUGAGGCGCGAAAGCUAGGGGGAGCGAACGGGG